GAUGCCAUCCCCUCUGGGGUGGGAAUGCUCUUUCAGUGUGUAUUUCUUUAUAUCUUUGUUUUAUUUUAUUUUGUAAAACGUGCUCUCGUUUUAUUAAACGUGCUCUCGUUUUAUUAAACGUGCUCUCGUUUUUUUAAAACGAGCUCUCGUUUUUUUAAAACGAGCUCUCGUUUUUUUAAAACGUGCUCUUGUUUAAGACCAUGAUUUAAGACCUGGAAAUGAGACAAUCUCAAUCGCCACGACCCAUUUUGAAUAAAGAGACAGAAAAAGAUUAAGGGCACAGAACAUGAAGACCAAAGGUCAAGCUAGCGUACAGAGAAGCAAGGCUGGUAAUGUUAUGUUUUGUUGACAGAUCCUAACCCGAGCGGGCAGUGACGAAGUUCGGCGACUACCAAUGGCAGGGCAGAUCCUCUCUGCAUCUUGAAGUCCCUUCUCUUUUCUACUCGCUAGAUAAUAGUGAUGGGAAGUUCGACUCUUUCCACUGACUCGGAUCUUGUCGAGUCAUUCAGUAAAAGUUUGAUUCAUUUGAGUCAAUAAUGCCUACAGCCUUCUCUGUUACAAACAUGUCUUUAUAAUGGUACUGUCUUAAUCUAUUUUUCAUUGCAAUAGUAAAACU
ensembl:lncRNA